AAUUGUAUGUACAUUUGCUUUAUAUAUACAGGAUGGAGAAAGAUGUUCACUAUGAAUCAAAAAUUCAAAACAGAGGACUUUUAUAUAUCAACAAAAACAAUUGCAGUACAUGCACAUGUAUGAUUGAUAUACAUACAGCAGGAAAACAGUAAUCAAAUAGAGAGUCAACAACCAGUAAUGUCUAAAGCAAAAUUAUUUUGUUAAUACAAAAUAAUAUGACUAGAAUAUAUUAAGG
rnacentral:lncRNA from 1 species